CGGCUGGCGGAUCCUCUCUGCUCCCGGUGUGCGACGACCCUGGAGAGCGCUCGCUGUGUGACCCUGGGCAAGGGGCAGUGAUCUCCGAGGUUGGAAGGAGAGGACCUGGUUGCAGCCCCACAAAGGGCAGAGUUUCGGGACAGUUCAGCUCUGGCUUUAUGGCCCAACGGUGCCAUCUUUGGUGUGCCGGCUGGUAUAAAGGAGGCACAUCCUUGCAGCUCCUGCUGAGAGCUAACCCUGACACUUCCCAGCCAAUUCCGAUGCCAAGGCUGAUGGCAAGAACUUCUGCUUCUGGUCAGGCUGGACUAGGAGAGACUGGAUUUAUCCUCUUAUUGGAAACAAUUUAGAAAACAACAGCAACAACAACAAAAAAGGUAUGACUCAAUACAUUUGACAUUAGGCAAUGAAGAACAAUGAUGGAUGAGAGCAAGGAAGAAAAACAAGGUGAGACUUGUGGCUGACUUCCACCCAUUGAAAGGCACAGUAGGGGAAUUCAGGCAGAUCUGUCUUCCUCAGGAAACAGGACAUGACUGGGAGUCUGGGGGAAGCCAAACAGGCUAUAAUUUGUAGGACAGAGCAUUAGAGAGACUAAAAGCUAUAGAGAUAGUGAACUGGAGAUACACAGAGGGUUCUCUUCAGAUACUAAUCAACAGGAAAUUUCCUGAGGUUAGGGAGAUUCACAAAAGAAAAAAGGAAAUAGUCCUUAGAGUUCACAUGAGGCUGGGAAAUAGAGCUUGUUUCUGGUAUCCAGAGUGGAAAGUCUCUGAAUUUAAGGCACAUCAAUUAGAGCACUAACAAGAGUCAUGGCUGGGUAGUGGGGGUGAGGAAGAAGUAACCCCACAUUAAAAACAGCACUGGUCUCACCAAAGAAUCAAAUGUUUUCCAAGCAAUUUUAUUAAUUCUUGAAGCAAAAUUCUUUAUAAAACACAAAAAUAUACAGCACACAAGUUAAAAUUCACAAAUAUCUGGCACCCAAUCAGUGUUUACCGGGAAAGCAAAGGAGUAAGAAAAUAAUUACCUAUGAUGAAAAUAUUGAUCAGUCCAUUGACACUGACUCAGAA